AGCGAACGCUGGCGGCAGGCCUAACACAUGCAAGUCGAACGAACUCUUCGGAGUUAGUGGCGGACGGGUGAGUAACACGUGGGAACGUGCCUUUAGGUUCGGAAUAACUCAGGGAAACCUGUGCUAAUACCGAAUGUGCCCUUCGGGGGAAAGAUUUAUCGCCUUUAGAGCGGCCCGCGUCUGAUUAGCUAGUUGGUGGGGUAAUGGCCCACCAAGGCUACGAGCAGUAGCUGGUCUGAGAGGGUGACCAGCCACAUUGGGACUGGGAAACGGACCAAACCCCUACGGGAGGCAGCAGUGGGGAAUCUUGCGCAAUGGGCGAAAGCCUGACGCAGCCAUGCCGCGUGGAUGAUGAAGGUCUUAGGAUUGUAAAAUCCUUUCACCGGUGAAGAUAAUGACUGUAGCCGGAGAAGAAGCCCCGGCUAACUUCGUGCCAGCCGCCGCGGUAAUAC
rnacentral:rRNA from 1 species